rnacentral:rRNA from 1 species
AUCAUACCACCCUGAACAUCUCCAGUCUCAUCUGAUAUUGGAAGCUAAGCAGGGUCAGGUUGAUUUGUACUGAGAUGGGAGGGUUGCUUCGAAUACUCCAAACUAU